AACAAAUCCACCAAAAUUCUCAACCCUCCCUCUCUCUCACUUAAAUCUUCCCCGCACCCAAUAAAUAAAAAUAAAAAAUAAAGAAAAACAAAAAUGCGGCAGCACACACAAAUCUGCCUUGUGACUCCCCUCUCUCUGUUCUUUAUCUUCUUCUCGUCUCUCAAUGUUGCUGUCGCCGCCGCCGGUGGCAGCUCCGGCGCAGCCGAAAACCCAUUUUCGCCAAAGGCCUAUCUGGUUCGUUACUGGAACAAAGAGGUCCGGAACGAUGCGGAGAAGCCAUCGUUUUUGCUCUCGAAGGCCUCGCCAUUGAACACGGUGGACUCGGCGGCUUUCGCGAAGCUAGCGGCUCAGAACGGCCUCUCGACUCGGCUGCCUGAGUUCUGCUCCGCAGCCAAUCUUCUCUGCUUCCCCGAUUUGGCACAGAGCCUAGAAAAGCACGACAAGGACGCGAAUUUCGCGAUCUACGCAGACAAAAACUUCACCAAUUACGGCACCGAUCGGCUUGCCGGAGUCGACUCGUUCAAAAACUACUCGCUCGGCAAUAACAUCCCUGUCGACUCGUUCCGGCGGUACAGCCGCGACUCGGUCAACCACAAGGACCAGUUCACCAGCUAUGCCAACGACGGGAACGUGGUGGACCAGAGCUUCAACGGCUACGCCGCCGGAGCCACCGGCGGCGCCGGCGAUUUCAAGAAGUACGCCGACUCGGUGAACGUUCCCCACCUCGGAUUUAACUCGUACUCGGACGAUUCAAACGGGCGGUCCCACGGAUUCACGGGUUACAGUGAGAACGCCAACGCUGGCGACCAAUCGUUCACUGGCUACUCCAAAAACGGCAAUGGGGCCCCGAACGAGUUCACGGGCUACGGAUCUAACGCCAAUGUCGUCGGGUCCGGGUUCACGAGUUACGGCCAAUCCGGGAACGGAGCAAAUGACAAGUUCAGUAAUUACGGAAACGACCAGAACAAUCCAAAGAACAAUUUCCAGAGCUACGGCGACGGAGGCAAUGCCGGAGUCGAGACAUUCACCAGCUACAGAGAAAGAGCCAAUGUCGGCGACGACUCGUUUCAGUCGUACGCCAAGAACUCCAACGGCGAGAAGAUGGAUUUCACGAGUUACGGCAAGUCGUUCAAUAUCGGGUCGGAUAAGUUCACCGGGUACGGGAAGGGCGCGAAGGGGCAGGAUAUCGGGUUCAAGAUCUACGGCGUGAACACGACUUUCAAGGACUACGCCAAGAAGGAGACCGUAAGUUUCAAAAGCUACACCAAGGCCGGCGGCGGCUCCGUAAAAGCGGCGGCGGCUAGUGGCAGUUUGGUGAAAAAAUGGGUGGAGCCGGGCAAAUUCUUCCGGGAGUCGAUGCUCAAGAAAGGAGUCGUGAUGCCAAUGCCCGACAUUCAAGAUAAAAUGCCCAAAAGGUCAUUUCUGCCCCGGACAAUUCUCUCCAAAUUACCAUUUGCCACUUCCAAAAUCGCCACCCUCAAGCAAAUCUUCCACGCGGCGGAUAACUCGUCGAUGGAGAAGAUCAUCGUCGACGCCCUGCAGGAAUGCGAGCGAGCCCCCAGCGCCGGCGAGACGAAGCGCUGCGUCGGGUCCGCGGAGGACAUGAUCGACUUCGCCACCACCAUCCUGGGCCGAAACGUCGUCGUCCGGAGCACCGAGAACGUCAACGGGGCGAAGCACGACGUGAUGGUCGGAUCGGUGAAGGGAAUCAACGGCGGGAAAGUCACGCAGUCGGUGUCGUGCCACCAGAGCUUGUUCCCUUACCUACUCUACUACUGUCACUCUGUUCCAAAAGUUCGGGUAUACGAAGCGGAUCUUCUGGACCCGGUUUCGAAGGCCAAGAUCAACCACGGUGUUGCCAUCUGUCACUUGGACACGUCUGCCUGGAGUCCGACUCAUGGGUCUUUUUUGGCAUUGGGCUCGGGUCCCGGUCGGAUCGAAGUCUGCCACUGGAUCUUCCAGAAUGAUAUGACUUGGACUAUUGCUGACUGAUGAUGACGUGGAGGGUUUGCCCGUUUGGUUAAUUUGGGUUCGAACCUGCGGCUAAGAAAGACUUCAGGAGCAAAAAAGAAUGCGUAUAAUUAAGUGGGAGUGUAGAGAAAAAUGCCAAAGAUCGUAGCUACUCGUCUUAUUGCAGGUAAUUACGAAAUAUUUAAUUUAAAGUGCAGAUGGCUAAAAUGCGAUGGGUUUGAAAACGAAGUGGCAAUGCAGUGCUAGCCAUUGGCGUGCAAAAUGUGUUAGGCGUACGAAUAUAUAUAUAACGAAAGGCGGAGGCCAAUUCGGCCGUGUGGGUAAAAGAUGAGGUGGUCCAAAGGGCCACACGGUUUCUGCUAUGUUGCAAAUUCUGGGAAUGAGAAGGGCUUAUGACCUAUGAGGGACAGCUGUUGUUGGAGGCACCGUCCUUUCUUUUGUUUAUGCGGAAGAGUCCAUAAGGGUUACGCCAAUCCUUAUUUUUGUCUCUGACCUUGAAAAUUAAUAGAAGUGGUCUUUAAAUUUG